AGGCGCCUCCAGUUGCUCCUCCACCUCAGGCGCCUACAGUUGAUCAUCCAGUUGGGCCAAUCACUCGGGCCCGUGCGAGAGAAUUAAACUUCAUCAUGCUGUUAAGGAACGAAGGCCCAGCGGAAUAAGAAGAUGGCCCAACAGGGUAGCCCAGGUGGGGCGCCUAGGGUUGGGAGCCGCGGCCCUCCCCCUGGUCGCGCGCACCCCCCCUCCUGCCGUGGCGCCUCCUCCGGACUCCAGGGGCUGCGCCCCCUUUAUUUAGUCGGAGUCCCUUUUGUUUACGACUUAAGUUUUGUUUUACAUCUAGCUUUAGCUACUCUCGAACACGUGCAAAUACGCGCUGUCCUUGUGUGAUUCAGAACUCCACCUUCGAGUGAUAUUUAGAUUGCUCGCCUCCUUUUC
rnacentral:lncRNA from 1 species